rnacentral:tRNA from 1 species
GAGACAUUAGCACAAAUGGUAGUGUUUCGGUACCAUUAGAACCGAAGGUAUGGGUUCAAUUCCCAUAUGUCUCC